GCCCUCUUCAGGAGCACAUAUAAUAAAGUUGGAAUGAUACCCAAAAAAUUAGCAUAGCUCUUGCAUGAAGAUACAUGCAAAUAUGUGAAGAAUUCUGCAUUUUU
ensembl:snRNA U6 U6 spliceosomal RNA